UCUUUACAGAAACAUUGCAAAACUCAUCGACAGCAGAAAUUGGACGAGAAACUGCCAAUACAUUUGAAGUGAAACAUUUUAUAUACAUGCUAACAAAAGUCUGUUUCAUUACAUAAAUUAUAACAUUUACAAUAAUUGAUGUGAUGGUAAUCUGUAAAGGUAAAACUAUGUGCUUGUUUUCAUCCAAACCUCACAGGGAAUCCCGAAGCAGAUGGGUGGGAACCACUUUGGGAUUAUCAUACUAAUGAAUGAUGCCUCUGAUUAGUAGGUGGUGGUGUUUUGUUCUCCUGGACAAUCACUCAACCACUGAGGGGGGUCUUCACUAUUCAAAAGGCAAUGUCUUCAGGCAGAGUCCAGUGAAGUGACUCUGCGUAUUUGACACUUUCUCUGGGAUGCAGAUGGUUUAUGGAUGUGGUCACUCAAGAUGUUUUUCAGAAAGCAGUGCAACACUUUACAUGGCCAGCCGCCAGACGACUUUAAGGUGUGGCCAUCUGGAAGAAUUUCAGUCCUGUCUACUGGACAGAGUUUAGAUUGUGUACAGCGUCAGGGAAUGCUUGCAGUGCAGAGCCCUUUUCAAGUCAUACCCACCAGGGUUUAGGGCAGGAGUGGGGAACCCUGGGUCCUGGAGGGCCACUGUCCUGCAGAGUUUAGUUCCAACCCUAAUCAAACACACCUGAAUUUAAUU